rnacentral:rRNA from 1 species
AGUGAACGCUGGCGGUAGGCCUAACACAUGCAAGUCGAACGGCAGCACAGUAAGAGCUUGCUCUUACGGGUGGCGAGUGGCGGACGGGUGAGGAAUACAUCGGAAUCUACUUUUUCGUGGGGGAUAACGUAGGGAAACUUACGCUAAUACCGCAUACGACCUACGGGUGAAAGCAGGGGAUCUUCGGACCUUGCGCGAUUGAAUGAGCCGAUGUCGGAUUAGCUAGGUGGCGGGGUAAAGGCCCACCAAGGCGACGAUCCGUAGCUGGUCUGAGAGGAUGAUCAGCCACACUGGAACUGAGACACGGUCCAGACUCCUACGGGAGGCAGCAGUGGGGAAUAUUGGACAACGGGCGCAAGCCUGAUCCAGCCAUACCGCGUGGGUGAAGAAGGCCUUCGGGUUGUAAAGCCCUUUUGUUGGGAAAGAAAAGCAGCAGGUUAAUACCACGCUGUUCUGACGGUACCCAAAGAAUAAGCACCGGCUAACUUCGUG